rnacentral:rRNA from 1 species
CCUGAGCGUCAGUCUUUGUCCAGGGGGCCGCCUUCGCCACCGGUAUUCCUCCAGAUCUCUACGCAUUUCACCGCUACACCUGGAAUUCUACCCCCCUCUACAAGACUCAAGCUUGCCAGUUUCAAAUGCAGUUCCCAGGUUGAGCCCGGGGAUUUCACAUCUGACUUAACAAACCGCCUGCGUGCGCUUUACGCCCAGUAAUUCCGAUUAACGCUUGCACCCUCCGUAUUACCGCGGCUGCUGGCACGGAGUUAGCCGGUGCUUCUUCUGCGAGUAACGUCAAUCGCUAAGGUUAUUAACCUUAACGCCUUCCUCCUCGCUGAAAGUACUUUACAACCCGAAGGCCUUCUUCAUACACGCGGCAUGGCUGCAUCAGGCUUGCGCCCAUUGUGCAAUAUUCCCCACUGCUGCCUCCCGUAGGAGUCUGGACCGUGUCUCAGUUCCAGUGUGGCUGGUCAUCCUCUCAGACCAGCUAGGGAUCGUCGCCUAGGUGAGCCAUUACCCCACCUACUAGCUAAUCCCAUCUGGGCACAUCUGAUGGCAUGAGGCCCGAAGGUCCCCCACUUUGGUCUUGCGACGUUAUGCGGUAUUAGCUACCGUUUCCAGUAGUUAUCCCCCUCCAUCAGGCAGUUUCCCAGACAUUACUCACCCGUCCGCCGCUCGUCACCCGAGAGCAAGCUCUCUGUGCUACCGCUCGACUUGCAUGUGUUAGGCCUGCCGCCAGCGUUCA